GCAUGUGUGACACUUAAGGCUUUAAUAGAGCUGUUGUUUACCAAUAGCGAUCUGGGGCUUGGGGGAGGGUAUUUUUUCAAAGUCCAUUUUUGAUGAAGACCUUUAAACAUGCUUCAUAUGUUUUUACAUUUUUUUUUUUUUCAAAUUAGUCUUUUAGUCAAUAUAGGAAAUGGCUUAAGUUUGGGGUCCCCCUUUUUACCCCUGUAAGCCAUUGCAAACUUAACAUUUAGUUGGAUGCCUGACUUGUUUUUUAGUUCUAUGAAACUACACUGUAUGGAGAAAAUCUAUUGCAAGUGGUCUUUAAAAAGCAAAACCUGAGGCAGCAUGACCCAGGUCCAGCCAUGAAGUUGAAAAAGAUGCUCUUGAAUAUAGUAAACUUGAAGACCUCCAACUAAAAAUCCUUAUACUGCACUUAUUCCUUCAAAUAAGUUUUGUUCGUUCAACUUAUGGAUUUAACGUGGCAGUGCACCAUUGGAACAGAAUGACAAUCCAUAAGCCAUGCAACUUAACCAUUUAAGCCAUUCCAGUCCAUCCUAAGCCAGUGAAUCUUCCACCACUUAAGAGAAGUAGUAGAACAUGAAAUAUGUUAAGCUGCAAGUCUGAACUUGCCUUUUCUUUCUGGAAAAGAGGGCAGUAAUAGGCAAGUUUUGAAGAAUUUCCUUAAGAGAGAUAACUAGUUUUCAUUUAUUUAACUUUUGCAGGUUGAGGAUUAUGCUCAUUAUGGUCGUGGAGUGCUGAUUUAUUCACAGUAGAUAAAGCUGGCAGUAAGAGAAAUCAAAGGCUAAGAGUUGUUGAAGCAGAAGGCGGCUGAUUGUCGAUAAGUCACUACAGUUGCACAAGCAGUACUGUCAGAAUUGGUUUGGUGCAGGCAAUAGAUUUUUGCCUUCAGGGAUUCCUGUGGAUGUGAGGAAGGCAUAAGUGUUGAUUAACACUCAUAACUAGGGAGUGAGUGGUAGUUAUUUAAAACAAGUAAUUAAUCAAAUGGAAAAGGGGAAGUAAUUAAGGAAAUUGGUAAGUGGAGGUAGUCAAGAAGUUCUUGUGGUGCUUUACAUAGAUUUUACAGCUUUGGCUUUCAUUUUGCUUAGCUAAAGUCAUGGGGACAACUCUUUAAUUUAGAAAUUAAGUUGAAUUAUAAAAAUGAUGGAUAUAAGUGGUAGCUCUAUCUAGUGAAGUGUUUGUCAGUAAGUGAAACAUUUUUUGGUGGUAGCUUAUCCAGAAACAGUUUAGUUGUAGAAUAAAACAGUGACAUCUGGAAAGUAACCAUGCUGAGAUGGCAAGCACACUGGAAAUAGGCCACUUGGCUUUCGUUUGCUGUAUUGUUUUAUAAACCUGCUUUACGUCCCAGUCUUGGAAACAAGUUUUAGUUUAUUGCUUUGGAGACUAGAGCCAGUAGUAUAGUGUUCUGAAAGGAAACAGACUUGAGUUGUUGGAGUAGAGGAACUAACUCAACUUACAAGGUUUUUUUUUGUUGUAAUUAUGGCACUGUCCUGUUUUAACAUUUGCAACUAGGGAGAGUAAGUACAACAUUUUAAACUCUCAUUUGAAAGACAACUACUAAUCAACAGACCACAAGGAUAAUGACCAAAUUUAUGUGGUUGUUGCCCCAGUCUUCCAUACUCUUAUGAUUACUUGGGUUAAAGCUUCUGUGAGGACCUUUUGGCUCUUGAGAUAUGCUAAAUAUUUAAGAUAUAUCCUUAAAGAUAGUAUAGGAUAUAGAGAUUGUACCAAAUAUGAAUGAAUAUUAACUUCAAAGCAAGGAGUAUGUUAAAAUGACCAGAUACCUGUGUGAUGGUCAUAAGUAGUUUACUGACCUUGCAGAUGUGUGAAAAAAGAAUCAGAUCUUGAUUCUUUUGGGUUUAUACUGGUUGUAAAACAGAAUGAUACAGAAAAUGUUUUUCUUGUUUAACUGGUAGUUGAACAUAGAACUUGGGUAUUUAGAUCUCUUUUCACUUUUUGGAAUGUUUUGUAUUGAAACUUAAUAAAACUUUAACAUGGCAUCUU